GAUGAACGCUGGCGGCGUGCCUAAUACAUGCAAGUCGAGCGAACAGACGAGGAGCUUGCUCCUCUGACGUUAGCGGCGGACGGGUGAGUAACACGUGGAUAACCUACCUAUAAGACUGGGAUAACUUCGGGAAACCGGAGCUAAUCCCGGAUAAUAUAUUGAACCGCAUGGUUCAAUAGUGAAAGACGGUUUUGCUGUCACUUAUAGAUGGAUCCGCGCCGCAUUAGCUAGUUGGUAAGGUAACGGCUUACCAAGGCGACGAUGCGUAGCCGGCCUGAGAGGGGGAUCGGGCACAAGAGAACGGAAACACGGUCCAGACUCCUAAGGGAGGCAGCAGUAGGGAAGCUUCCGCAAGGGGCGAAAACCUGACGGAGCAACGCCGCGUGAGGGAUGAAGGUCUUCGGAUCGUAAAACUCUGUUAUUAGGGAAGAACAAAUGUGUAAGUAACUAGGCACGUCGUGACGGUACUUAAUCAGAAAGCCACGGCUAACUACGUG
rnacentral:rRNA from 1 species